rnacentral:tRNA from 1 species
UAAGAAUUAGUUAAAUAUAUAAUAUAAACUUGUCAUGUUUAAGUUGUUACUUCAUUCUUAA